rnacentral:rRNA from 1 species
UACGUAGGGUGCAAGCGUUAUCCGGAAUUAUUGGGCGUAAAGAGCUCGUAGGCGGUUUGUCGCGUCUGCUGUGAAAACUGGAGGCUCAACCUCCAGCCUGCAGUGGGUACGGGCAGACUAGAGUGCGGUAGGGGAGAUUGGAAUUCCUGGUGUAGCGGUGAAAUGCGCAGAUAUCAGGAGGAACACCGGCGGCGAAGGCGGGUCUCUGGGCCGUAACUGACACUGAGGAGCGAAAGCGUGGGGAGCGAACAGG